CCGCCGGUACCGCGGCGCCCGGGUUUCGGCGGGAGCAGCCGGCAGAGGCAGCGCCCCGCGGCCGGGAGCGGCGCGGCCCCAGCCCGCCCGCCGGCAGCACCUGUGGGCGCGCGUCCCGGCGCCGCUCGCUCGCUCAGGGCCCUCUCAUGCCUCCGACGGCCCCGCGCCCGCCCGGCCGCCCCGCGGGAGCCGCCGUCAGACCGGACAAACGGGUUCCCCCGGUUGGCGGGGCCGGCCCCGCCGCGCAGGAGGAGGGGAGGGGCCGCUCCGGCCCCGUCUCGGCCCGGCUGCUCCCGGCCCACGAGAGGGGAGGCGGCGGGACCCCCGGGCGUCGCGGCCCCGGUUCCACGGCGGGGCGGCGCCGCCCCCGCCUCUCCCCGGCCGGCCGAGCCCUGCGGCUGCCGCCGCCCCGGUAGGUGAGGGGUGGCGGGGCCGGGCCGGGCCGGGCCGUGAGCAGAACCCCCUCCCGCCGAGGGCCCGCAAAACGCGCUUCCCCUUUGCGGAGGGUUCCCCGCGACUUUCCGGCGUCGGGGAAGGCGGGAGGCGGCGGUUCGCACACGGGCUCAGAGAGGAGCAGGAUGGGCGCCCGGGCCUGAGGGGCCAAAAGCUGAAUCAUGAGGCUGUAGCAAAUUACGCAUAAACAUCUCAGGAGCCUACUGGGAACUCGUCAAAGGAAUGUGGCAAGCUCUGACUGUGAGGAGGAUAUGCAAUUCCCCGGAGGGCAUCGACUUUGCUCCCCAUCAUGCAGACCCCCUCCCGAAGAGGAUGUUAUCUGUGUUUGAUCGCGGUGAGGUUCAGGUGACUGCGUCCAGGGAAUAGUCCCCAUGUGGCUGUAGAGAAACCAGCAUCUGAUCUGUUGCACCUUUGUUUCUCAAGUCAUAAUAUGAAAAAUUAGUGAGAAAGACCACAGUUGAAUUUCUGCCAUUCUCGAAAUGAGAAAUGUACUUUAACAUGCCUUCUUAGUUUGGCAUAACACUAGUCUUAUUAUUGAACAGGUAUACGAGUGGGGGGGGGAACCCAAAAUGCUUGGUAUCUUGUAGUUUUUUAAUCAAUCUACCAUCAAACCCAUGUAUCUUUUGAUCUCCUGCUGCAGGCUUAGCUAAUAAAAGUGUGUUUGAUCAUGAUGUAUAUGGGAGAACCUGGCUGAGGCUAACACUGCUUAGCUAUUCAUUUAUGAGUAGCUAUUGCAGAAAUAGAAUCUGCCCACUUGUGGAUGCUGCUCUAUAAUAAAAGUGAUCUUUGUUUUGGGCUGA